rnacentral:rRNA from 1 species
AUUGAACGCUGGCGGCAGGCUUAACACAUGCAAGUCGAGCGGGGGAAGGUAGCUUGCUACCGGACCUAGCGGCGGACGGGUGAGUAAUGCUUAGGAAUCUGCCUAUUAGUGGGGGACAACAUCUCGAAAGGGAUGCUAAUACCGCAUACGUCCUACGGGAGAAAGCGGGGGAUCUUCGGACCUUGCGCUCAUAGUUGAGCCUAAGUCGGAUUAGCUAGUUGGUGGGGUAAAGGCCUACCAAGGCGACGAUCUGUAGCGGGUCUGAGAGGAUGAUCCGCCACACUGGGACUGAGACACGGCCCAGACUCCUACGGGAGGCAGCAGUGGGGAAUAUUGGACAAUGGGGGGAACCCUGAUCCAGCCAUGCCGCGUGUGUGAAGAAGGCCUUAUGGUUGUAAAGCACUUUAAGCGAGGAGGAGGCUACUCUAGUUAAUACCUAGGGAUAGUGGACGUUACUCGCAGAAUAAGCACCGGCUAACUCUGUGCCAGCCGCCGCCGUAAAAC